GUCACCUGAACACUUGAAUGCCUCUUAACUCAUUAUUCUCUAAAACUGAGUUCACAAUGGAUGGACACGUUUUCACUGAAGCUGUAGCUGCUGCACAAGUGCAUUCAGCUGCUGAGGACGCUGCAAUACCUGUAGUCUCUGUGGUCCCUGAGGAAUUUUUGGGUAUUAACUUUUCCCAGUCAGAUUAUGACUUUUCAGGCCAAGUUCGGAGCACAUUGAAUGCCCACAAUCCGGACGUUUUUGUCAGGGAGUUAGAUUCUAUCUCCCUGGUUCAGAACUCUUCGACUCGCUCUCCUCAAGCCAAAUCUAGA
ensembl:lncRNA